rnacentral:rRNA from 1 species
GAGUUUGAUUCUGGCUCAGAACGAACGCUGGCGGCAUGCCUAACACAUGCAAGUCGAACGAGACCUUCGGGUCUAGUGGCGCACGGGUGCGUAACGCGUGGGAAUCUGCCCUUGGGUUCGGAAUAACUCCCCGAAAGGGGUGCUAAUACCGGAUGAUGUCGCAAGACCAAAGAUUUAUCGCCCAAGGAUGAGCCCGCGUAGGAUUAGCCAGUUGGUGAGGUAAAAGCUCACCAAGGCGACGAUCCUUAGCUGGUCUGAGAGGAUGAUCAGCCACACUGGGACUGAGACACGGCCCAGACUCCUACGGGAGGCAGCAGUGGGGAAUAUUGGACAAUGGGCGAAAGCCUGAUCCAGCAAUGCCGCGUGAGUGAUGAAGGCCUUAGGGUUGUAAAGCUCUUUUACCCGGGAUGAUAAUGACAGUACCGGGAGAAUAAGCUCCGGCUAACUCCGUGCCAGCAGCCGCGGUAAUACGGAGGGAGCUAGCGUUGUUCGGAAUUACUGGGCGUAAAGCGCACGUAGGCGGCUUUGUAAGUUAGAGGUGAAAGCCCGGAGCUCAACUCCGGAAUAGCCUUUAAGACUGCAUCGCUUGAAUCCAGGAGAGGUGAGUAGAAUUCCGAGUGUAGAGGUGAAUUCGUAGAUAUUCGGAAGGACCACCCAGUGGCCGAAGGCGGCUCACUGGACUGGUUAUUGACCGCCUGAGGUGGCGAAGCGUGGGGAGCAAACCAGGAUUAGAUACCCCUGGUAGUUCCACCGCCCGGUAAACCGAUGG